rnacentral:rRNA from 1 species
AGAGUUUGAUCCUGGCUCAGGACGAACGCUGGCGGGUGCCUAAUAAAUGAAAGUAGAACGCUGAAGACUUUAGUUGCUAGAGUUGGAAGAGUUGCGAACGGGUGAGUAACGCGUAGGUAACCUGCCUACUAGCGGGGGAUAACUAUUGGAAACGAUAGCUAAUACCGCAUAACAGUGUUUAACACAUGUUAGAUGCUUGAAAGAUGCAAUUGCAUCACUAGUAGAUGGACUGCGUUGUAUUAGCUAGUUGGUGGGGUAACGGCCUACCAAGGCGACGAUACAUAGCCGACCUGAGAGGGUGAUCGGCCACACUGGGACUGAGACACGGCCCAGACUCUACGGGAGGCAGCAGUAGGGAAUCUUCGGCAAUGGGGGCAACCCUGACCGAGCAACGCCGCGUGAGUGAAGAAGGUUUUCGGAUCGUAAAGCUCUGUUGUAAGAGAAGAACGUGUGUGAGAGUGGAAAGUUCACACAGUGACGGUAACUUACCAGAAAGGGACGGCUAAUACGUGCCAGCAGCCGCGGUAAU